rnacentral:lncRNA from 1 species
CACACCAAGCCUGCUGCCUCGCACGCUCUGCUGCUGGUGCCCAGUGGGAGACAGAGCAAGGCCAGGGCACCGAGCCCUGCACCGGGGUCACCGUGAAGCUCAAGGAAGCCGCACGCGGUGCCUGGCGGAGAAGCAGGCUGCUGCCAGGCAGCUUUGUGCAUUUGGUGGCUUCAUUGGGUACUCAUCAAACAGUUGGCACAAACACCUCCCUCCUCCCGCGACAGGAGCUCGCGCUUCAAAAAGCCUCAAACUGCUCUGAAAUGUGAUAACAGCGUCUGUCAAUUUCUGCACAUAGAACGCUGUUUGCUACGGCAAGACUAUUUGUCUUGGCCUUCUGGAACUGUGUGGACUUCCAGACCAAUGAUUCCCCGCACCCUGGAGCAAGAGCCUACAGUGCUGGGAGUCCCCAGUGACAAGUGGAUCUUCCUUCCUGUGGAAGAGGGCGACCUCUCCUGUGACAUUGACUCGCCGAGGCUGUCACACCAGGCCAUUGGCUGCAGGGUGAGCACACGGCUGACUGUUCUCCGCCAGCUCCUCGACGACACCCCACUCUGGUGCGUCCUACUCCCCUGUUCCUGCCCUCACAGUGACAGAGGGCCACUCUGGGUGCCUCACGUGGAGCCUGGUCUGUUAGGCCCUGUCCCCUUCCUCAGCAGGCUCCGGCCGAACCCGAGCCCCAAGCCUGUGGCCGCUCCAGGUCGGGAGCGGGAUGGCAGGAGAUGGGCUCACUCUGGCAGGGGAAUUGCUCGCUGGCGAUCCCACCUCCUGCCAUCAACCCAACACCAGUGGCUGAAACACGCAGUGCCAGGGGAGAGACGGGCACUGAGAUCCAGCCUGGCCUUGGGGGAGGCACGUCUGAGG